rnacentral:rRNA from 2 species
GAUUGAACGCUGGCGGCAGGCCUAACACAUGCAAGUCGAACGGUAACAGGAAGAAGCUUGCUUCUUUGCUGACGAGUGGCGGACGGGUGAGUAAUGUCUGGGAAACUGCCUGAUGGAGGGGGAUAACUACUGGAAACGGUAGCUAAUACCGCAUAACGUCGCAAGACCAAAGAGGGGGACCUUAGGGCCUCUUGCCAUCGGAUGUGCCCAGAUGGGAUUAGCUAGUAGGUGGGGUAAAGGCUCACCUAGGCGACGAUCCCUAGCUGGUCUGAGAGGAUGACCAGCCACACUGGAACUGAGACACGGUCCAGACUCCUACGGGAGGCAGCAGUGGGGAAUAUUGCACAAUGGGCGCAAGCCUGAUGCAGCCAUGCCGCGUGUAUGAAGAAGGCCUUCGGGUUGUAAAGUACUUUCAGCGGGGAGGAAGGUGUUGUGGUUAAUAACCACAGCAAUUGACGUUACCCGCAGAAGAAGCACCGGCUAACUCCGUGCCAGCAGCCGCGGUAAUACGGAGGGUGCAAGCGUUAAUCGGAAUUACUGGGCGUAAAGCGCACGCAGGCGGUCUGUCAAGUCGGAUGUGAAAUCCCCGGGCUCAACCUGGGAACUGCAUUCGAAACUGGCAGGCUUGAGUCUCGUAGAGGGGGGUAGAAUUCCCAGGUGUAGCGGUGAAAUGCGUAGAGAUCUGGAGGAAUACCGGUGGCGAAGGCGGCCCCUGGACGAAGACUGACGCUCAGGUGCGAAAGCGUGGGGGAGCAAACAGGAUUAGAUACCCUGGUAGUCCACGCCGUAAACGAUGUCUAUUUGGAGGUUGUGCCCUUGAGGUGUGGCUUCCGGAGCUAACGCGUUAAAUAGACCGCCUGGGGAGUACGGCCGCAAGGUUAAAACUCAAAUGAAUUGACGGGGGCCCGCACAAGCGGUGGAGCAUGUGGUUUAAUUCGAUGCAACGCGAAGAACCUUACCUGGUCUUGACAUCCACAGAACUUUCCAGAGAUGGAGGGGUGCCUUCGGGAACUGUGAGACAGGUGCUGCAUGGCUGUCGUCAGCUCGUGUUGUGAAAUGUUGGGUUAAGUCCCGCAACGAGCGCAACCCUUAUCCUUUGUUGCCAGCGGUUAGGCCGGGAACUCAAAGGAGACUGCCAGUGAUAAACUGGAGGAAGGUGGGGAUGACGUCAAGUCAUCAUGGCCCUUACGACCAGGGCUACACACGUGCUACAAUGGCGCAUACAAAGAGAAGCGAACUCGCGAGAGCAAGCGGACCUCAUAAAGUGCGUCGUAGUCCGGACUGGAGUCUGCAACUCGACUCCAUGAAGUCGGAAUCGCUAGUAAUCGUGGAUCAGAAUGCCACGGUGAAUACGUUCCCGGGCCUUGUACACACCGC